UCCAGACUCCUACGGGAGGCAGCAGUGGGGGAUAUUGCACAAUGGGGGGAACCCUGAUGCAGCGACGCCGCGUGGGUGAAGGAGCGUUUCGGCGCGUAAAGCCCUAUCGGCAGGGAAGAAGGAGGACGGUACCUGACUAAGAAGCCCCGGCUAACUACGUGCCAGCAGCCGCGGUAAUACGGAGGAUGCGAGCGUUAUCCGGAUUUAUUGGGUUUAAAGGGUGCGCAGGCGGAUUUUUAAGUCAGCGGUCAAAUCGUGGGGCUCAACCCCAUCCAGCCGUUGAAACUGGGGAUCUAGAGUGUGCGAGAGGUAUGCGGAAUGCGUGGUGUAGCGGUGAAAUGCAUAGAUAUCACGCAGAACCCCGAUUGCGAAGGCAGCGUACCGGCGCCGGACUGACGCUGAGGCACGAAAGCGUGGGUAUCGAACAGGAUUAGAUACCCGCGUA
rnacentral:rRNA from 1 species